UACGGAGGGUGCAAGCGUUAUCCGGAUUUAUUGGGUUUAAAGGGUCCGUAGGCGGGCUGAUAAGUCAGUGGUGAAAUCCUGCAGCUUAACUGUAGAACUGCCAUUGAUACUGUUAGUCUUGAGUAUAUUUGAAGUAGCUGGAAUAAGUAGUGUAGCGGUGAAAUGCAUAGAUAUUACUUAGAACACCAAUUGCGAAGGCAGGUUACUAAGAUAUAACUGACGCUGAGGGACGAAAGCGUGGGGAGCGAACAGG
rnacentral:rRNA from 1 species